rnacentral:pre_miRNA from 1 species
UAUCAUGCUUUUCCACAGCUUUCUUGAACUUCUUUUCUUCUGAAUUUCAUCUCUAGCAAUUGAGUUAUUGAUAUGAGAUGAGAUUAAGCUAUAAAAGUUCAAGAAAGCUGUGGGAAAACAUGGUGA